rnacentral:rRNA from 1 species
AUACGGAGGAUGCGAGCGUUAUCCGGAUUUAUUGGGUUUAAAGGGAGCGUAGGUGGGAUAUUAAGUCAGCUGUGAAAGUUUGGGGCUCAACCUUAAAAUUGCAGUUGAUACUGGUUUCCUUGAGUACGGUACAGGUGGGCGGAAUUCGUGGUGUAGCGGUGAAAUGCUUAGAUAUCACGAAGAACUCCGAUCGCGAAGGCAGCUCACCGGGCCGGAACUGACACUGAUGCUCGAAAGUGCGGGUAUCAAACAGGAUUAGAUACCCUGGUAGUCCGCACAGUAAACGAUGAAUACUUGUUUUCGGCGAUAUAAUGUCGGAGGCAAAGCGAAAGCGAUAAGUAUUCCACCUGGGGAGUACGCCGGCAACGGUGAAACUCAAAGGAAUUGACGGGG